GAAGUUUCCAGUAACAUGUGGAUACUGUUAAUGUUGUAUUGAUUUAAAAAUCUUGUGUUUUUCCCCCUGGUCUGGUGCUGGACCAGUGCAGAAACACAACAACAACCUGUAAGACACUGCAAAGUGUAUGUCUUCUUAUGGAUUAUAGCUUCUCAUAAUUGAGUUCAUUUUGAUCACAGAAAAUAUGUAAAUGCUUCUGUACUGAUGAUUAUAAUGCUUUCUAGUAGUGCUGGUAUGGCUGUUGAUUUCAGCAUCAGGAGAUCAAAUGCAUUAAAAACAGACAAGUGCCCUCGUGUGGCUAGUGGAAGAACUGCAGCUGGACUUGUGGCGCUUCACUGCUUAAGAAAAUUGUAUGAACUUUAAGAAUGUGCAAGCCUUUCGUCCUUUUUUUCUGUAGUCACUUCCUGUACAGGCAACCCUUUUAUCUUAAUCCAAAACCAAUAUCAAUAAGAAGAUGUUUAUGGCACAUGCCAGCUCAUGAAGUGUUUGUCCAUCCAUCCAUCCAUCCAUCUUCUAUACCGCUUAUCCUUCCUUCAGGGUCACGGGGAAACCUGGAGCCUACCCCAGGGAGCAUUGGGCACAAGGCUGGGUACACCCUGGACAGGGUGCCAAUCCAUGAAUAAUCCAUCCAUCCAUCCAUCCAUCCAUCUUCUAUACCGCUUAUCCUUUUCAGGGUCACGAGGAAACCUGGAGCCUAUCCCAGGGCGCAUCGGGCACAAGGCGGGGUACACCCUGGACAGGGUGUAAGUAAUCCAUUCGCAAAAUAUACCUCCCUUUGCCGUUUUGUCUGAUUUGUUAAUGGUUUCUGACUUGUUCAUGUGUUUUCUGAAUUGUUAAUGUGUUUUCUGAUGUGUCGUGAUGUUUAUAAUUUGUUUAUUUUGUUUUUGGAUUUGUUAUUUUGUUUUCAUAUUUGUGUUUUGUUGUGCACUUCUCAGCCUCCAUACAUGGAGGAGAUUGGAGGAAGGCAUCUUAAUCUUAAAAAAUUGUUUAAGUGAAGGACUGAACUUUUAUAGAUAAAAAUAUGAUUAACACUUAUUAUGAAUGAAUGUACUUGUAGCAGAUCCUGCAAAUCAUUAUCCUUAUCCUUCAAACCAUUUGGCAUGUUUUCCUUAUGAAGUGUGCUUUAAAUGAACAAAAACAUUAUUUUAUAAACCUUAUAUUUUCGAUUUUCAUUUUUUAUUUGUCUCAUUUUGGUGAGUUUAAAGGCAGGUGUUUU
ensembl:lncRNA